rnacentral:rRNA from 1 species
AGACGGAGGAGGCUAGCGUUGUUCGGAAUUACUGGGCGUAAAGCGUGUGUAGGUGGUUGUAUAAGUUAGAUGUGAAAGCCCCGGGCUUAACCUGGGAAUUGCGUUUAAGACUGUAUGACUAGAGUACUGUAGAGGAUAGUGGAAUUUCCAGUGUAGCGGUGAAAUGCGUAGAUAUUGGAAGGAACACCAGUGGCGAAGGCGGCUUUCUGGACUGUAACUGACACUGAGGCACGAAAGCGUGGGGAGC